GACGAACGCUGGCGGCGUGCUUAACACAUGCAAGUCGAACGAAGUGGCGAACGGGUGAGUAACGCGUAAUCAACCUGCCCUUCAGAGGGGGACAACAGUUGGAAACGACUGCUAAUACCGAAUACUGAAGGAGGGGAUUGCGUCUGAUUAGCUAGUUGGAGGGGUAACGGCCCACCAAGGCGAUGAUCAGUAGCCGGCCUGAGAGGAUGAUCGGCCAAACUGGGACUGAGAAACGGCCCAGACUCCUACGGUAGCCAGCAGUGGGGAAUCUUCGGCAAUGGACGAAAUUCUGACGGAGCAACGCCGCGUGAUUGAUGACGGCCUUCGGGUUGUAAAGCUCUGUUAUUCGGGACGCGGUACCGAAAUAGAAAGCCACGGCUAACUACGUGCCAGCAGCCGCGGUAAUUC
rnacentral:rRNA from 1 species